CUACGGGGUGCACCAGUGGGGAAUAUUGCACAAUGGAGGAAACUCUGAUGCAGCAACGCCGCGUGGAGGAUGACACUUUUCGGAGCGUAAACUCCUUUUAUAUAGGAAGAAGAUGACGGUACUAUAUGAAUAAGCGCCGGCUAACUCCGUGCCAGCAGCCGCGGUAAUACGGAGGGCGCAAGCGUUACACGGAAUCACUGGGCGUAAAGAGCGUGUAGGCGGAUUAAAAAGUCAGAAGUGAGAUCCUAUAGCUUAACUAUAGAACUGCUUCUGAAACUCUUAAUCUAGAAUAUGGGAGAGGUAGAUGGAAUUUCUGGUGUAGGGGUAAAAUCCGUAGAGAUCAGAAGGAAUACCGAUUGCGAAGGCGAUCUACUAGAACAUUAUUGACGCUGAGACGCGAAAGCGUGGGGAGCAAACAGGAUUAGAUACCCUCGUAGUC
rnacentral:rRNA from 1 species